rnacentral:rRNA from 1 species
GCUGGCGGCAGGCCUAACACAUGCAAGUCGAGCGCAGUCCUUCGGGACCGAGCGGCGGACGGGUUAGUAACGCGUGGGAACAUACCCUUUUCUACGGAAUAGCCUCGGGAAACUGAGAGUAAUACCGUAUAAGCCCUUCGGGGGAAAGAUUUAUCGGGAAAGGAUUGGCCCGCGUUAGAUUAGAUAGUUGGUGGGGUAAUGGCCUACCAAGUCUACGAUCUAUAGCUGGUUUUAGAGGAUGAUCAGCAACACUGGGACUGAGACACGGCCCAGACUCCUACGGGAGGCAGCAGUGGGGAAUCUUAGACAAUGGGCGCAAGCCUGAUCUAGCCAUGCCGCGUGUGUGAUGAAGGUCUUAGGAUCGUAAAGCACUUUCGCCAGGGAUGAUAAUGACAGUACCUGGUAAAGAAACCCCGGCUAACUCCGUGCCAGCAGCCGCGGUAAUACGGAGGGGGUUAGCGUUGUUCGGAAUUACUGGGCGUAAAGCGUACGUAGGCGGAUCAGAAAGUAGGGGGUGAAAUCCCAGGGCUCAACCCUGGAACUGCCUCCUAAACUCCUGGUCUUGAGUUCGAGAGAGGUGAGUGGAAUUCCAAGUGUAGAGGUGAAAUUCGUAGAUAUUUGGAGGAACACCAGUGGCGAAGGCGGCUCACUGGCUCGAUACUGACGCUGAGGUACGAAAGUGUGGGGAGCAAACAGGAUUAGAUACCCUGGUAGUCCACACCGUAAACGAUGAAUGCCAGUCGUCGGGCAGUAUACUGUUCGGUGACACACCUAACGGAUUAAGCAUCCGC